ensembl:lncRNA
GCCAGAGGCUAGCAAGUGUCAAGUGAAUCCACAACAUCACCACAAAUGUAUUUUCAAGCCAGGCAACCUCAGCGUGAAGAGAUCCAGAAGGCAGCGGCCCACACUGCAGGAAAAAUGCCCCAAUGUGACCAUCAAUGAGGAGGCAUUGUGUGACAAGGUCACUGGCCUGCAAGUGUUCCUGAUGGCUUGAAGAAUGGAAAACAUCUGAGACACCGCUUAGUCAGAGAUGGAGCACAGUGGUUACCCACUUCAAAGGGAAUGACAUUUCACACCCUAAUCUGGUUAGAUUAGCAUCUGUUGUCAUGUGCUUACCUGGAUGUAAUGCACCAGUCGAGAGAGUGUUCUCCCAAAUGAAUGAUAUAUUAUGGACAGCAGCAGGAAAUAGGUUCACUGUUCCUUCCAUCAAG